GCAGUGCUCCGGCUUGUCGCUGGCAUUCCGUUAUUGGCGUGCGAGAGGAAAGUCCGGGCAGCAUAGGGCAUCCCACUUCCGAAACUAGAAGCUAUUGGUGACAGUAGGUGUCGGUAGAAGAAAAUAACCGCCCGAAACUUAUUCCGUAGCGGUGAAGCUUGCUUCAUCGUGGUUUAGUGUCGGGUAAGGGUGAGAAGGUGGUGUAAGAGACCACCAGCUGGCGGGUAAUCGUCAGGCUGUACCAUCUGGGAGCUGUAAGCUCAUGUAUACCGCAGAUUGAGGGCGGCUCGUCCGAUUGUUCCUUCGGGAACUGCUGUGGAGGGUAGAGUGCUUGAGCCCAGGGGUGACUCUGGGACUAGAUAAAUGACAAGCGCCUGCAUUUCUUUGUUCUCUUACCAUUUAUUGCAGGUACAGAACUCGGCUUAUAGGGGCACUGCUUUC
rnacentral:RNase_P_RNA from 1 species